rnacentral:rRNA from 1 species
GAUGAACGCUGGCGGCGUGCUUAACACAUGCAAGUCGAACGAUGAAGCCCAGCUUGCUGGGUGGAUUAGUGGCGAACGGGUGAGUAACACGUGAGUAACCUGCCCUUAACUCUGGGAUAAGCCUGGGAAACUGGGUCUAAUACCGGAUAGGAGCGUCCACCCCACGGUGGGUGUUGGAGAGAUUUAUCGGUUUUGGAUGGACUCGCGGCCUAUCAGCUUGUUGGUGGGGUAAUGGCUCACCAAGGCGACGACGGGUAGCCGGCCUGAGAGGGUGACCGGCCACACUGGGACUGAGAUACGGCCCAGACUCCUACGGGAGGCAGCAGUGGGGAAUAUUGCACAAUGGGCGCAAGCCUGAUGCAGCGACGCCGCGUGAGGGAUGACGGCCUUCGGGUUGUAAACCUCUUUCAGUAGGGAAGAAGCGAAAGUGACGGUACCUGCAGAAGAAGCACCGGCUAACUACGUG